rnacentral:pre_miRNA from 1 species
CUGGGGACAGCGGAGAGAUGAUGGUCUGGGAACAUGUGCUGACCUCAGGCCACAUGUUUGCUGACCAUCACCUUUGGGAC